UGCCAAAGCCAUAUCACCCUGCACACCAAUACCGGUUUCUCACUGAAGCUAAGCAGGGCUGAGCCUGGUCGGUACCUGGAUGGGAGAUCACAUGGGAAAACAAGGUUGCUGUUGGAA
ensembl:rRNA 5S_rRNA 5S ribosomal RNA